GUUGCAGGGUAUAGACCCGAAACCCGGUGAUCUAGCCAUGGGCAGGUUGAAGGUUGGGUAACACUAACUGGAGGACCGAACCGACUAAUGUUGAAAAAUUAGCGGAUGACCUGUGGCUGGGGGUGAAAGGCCAAUCAAACCGGGAGAUAGCUGGUUCUCCCCGAAAGCUAUUUAGGUAGCGCCUCGUGAAUUCAUCUCCGGGGGUAGAGCACUGUUUCGGCUAGGGGGCCAUCCCGGCUUACCAACCCGAUGCAAACUGCGAAUACCGGAGAAUGUUAUCACGGGAGACACACGGCGGGUGCUAACGUCCGUCGUGAAGAGGGAAACAACCCAGACCGCCAGCUAAGGUCCCAAAGUCAUGGUUAAGUGGGAAACGAUGUGGGAAGGCCCAGACAGCCAGGAUGUUGGCUUAGAAGCAGCCAUCAUUUAAAGAAAGCGUAAUAGCUCACUGGUCGAGUCGGCCUGCGCGGAAGAUGUAACGGGGCUAAACCAUGCACCGAAGCUGCGGCAGCGAACGUAUCACUUAAAGCGAUUCAGCGGGUUACGAUUGACGGAGCGAAGCGACGUCAAAGCGUAUACAAAGUCGAGUCGGUUUAAGGAUACGUUCGUUGGGUAGGGGAGCGUUCUGUAAGCCUGCGAA
rnacentral:rRNA from 1 species